CCUACGGGUGGCAGCAGUGGGGAAUAUUGCACAAUGGGCGCAAGCCUGAUGCAGCCAUGCCGCGUGUGUGAAGAAGGCCUUCGGGUUGUAAAGCACUUUCAGCGGGGAGGAAGGCGUUAAGGUUAAUAACCUUGGCGAUUGACGUUACCCGCAGAAGAAGCACCGGCUAACUCCGUGCCAGCAGCCGCGGUAAUACGGAGGGUGCAAGCGUUAAUCGGAAUUACUGGGCGUAAAGCGCACGCAGGCGGUCUGUCAAGUCGGAUGUGAAAUCCCCGGGCUCAACCUGGGAACUGCAUUCGAAACUGGCAGGCUAGAGUCGUGUAGAGGGGGGUAGAAUUCCAGGUGUAGCGGUGAAAUGCGUAGAGAUCUGGAGGAAUACCGGUGGCGAAGGCGGCCCCCUGGACAAAGACUGACGCUCAGGUGCGAAAGCGUGGGGAGCAAACAGGAUUAGAUACCCUAGUAGUC
rnacentral:rRNA from 1 species